rnacentral:rRNA from 1 species
ACCCGCUGAAUUUAAGCAUAGCAAUUAAGCGGAGGAAAAGAAACUAACUAGGAUUCCCUCAGUUAACGGCGAGUGAAGCGGGACUAGCUCAGGAUGUGAAUCUGCGCUUUUAUGGCGCCGAAUUGUGGUCUGUAGACUUUGACGUUAUCUGCCGGGCCAAGUUCCUUGGAAAAGGACAGCUGAGAGGGUGAAACUCCCGUCCGCCUGGUAGAAGUGAGUCUUUGUCAACGAGUCGAGUUGUUUGGGAUUGGCAGCUCUAAUUUGGUGGUAAAUUCCAUCUAAAGCUAAAUAUUGGUGGGAGACCGAUAGCGUACAAGUACCGUGAGGGAAAGAUGCAAAGAACUUUGAAAAGAGAGUUAAAGAGUACCUGAAAUUGCUGAAACGGAAGCGAAGGAAACCAGUGUUUGUUGGUUCAUAUUUCCCUGGCCACUUGUGGUUUGGGCGCUGUGAGCUUGCGUGGGUUUGGGUUGGUUGAUCCCUUUGGAAGAGCGCAGUCAGAGUUGAUGUCUGUUGCUAGCACUGGGUUUGACUGAUGCAGACGAAAUGGUUUUCUUUACCCCGUCUUGAAACACGGACCAAGGAGUCUAACAUAUGUGCGAGUACAGGGGUGUCAAACCCCGGUGCGUAAUGAAAGUGACAGUGGUUGGAUAUUUUGCACAAUCCGCCGGCCUCAAUCCUUCGGGAGAACGGUCUGAGUGUGAGCAUACAUGUUGGGACCCGAAAGAUGGUGAACUAUGCCUGAAUAGAGGUGAAGCCAGGGGAAACUCUGGUGGAGGCUCGUAGCGAUUCUGACGUGCAAAUCGUUC